UACGUAGGUGGCAAGCGUUGUCCGGAAUUACUGGGUGUAAAGGGAGCGUAGGCGGGAAUGCAAGUUGAAUGUUAAAACUAUCGGCUCAACCGAUAAGUGCGUUCAAAACUGUGUUUCUUGAGUGAAGUAGAGGCAGGCGGAAUUCCUAGUGUAGCGGUGAAAUGCGUAGAUAUUAGGAGGAACACCAGUGGCGAAGGCGGCCUGCUGGGCUUUUACUGACGCUGAGGCUCGAAAGCGUGGGUAGCAAACAGG
rnacentral:rRNA from 1 species